UACGAUACCGCUCAACUCGGUUCUAACGAAGAUCAGUCGUUAGAGGUAACGGGGAAAGUUUGGUGUAAAUCCAGCGCUGUCCCGCAACUGUGAAAGGAGUUUUUUCCUCAGUCAGAAUGCCCGCCGAUGUCAAUGUUCAUGU
rnacentral:ncRNA from 2 species